rnacentral:rRNA from 1 species
GAUGAACGCUGGCGGCGUGCCUAAUACAUGCAAGUCGAGCGAACAGACGAGGAGCUUGCUCCUCUGACGCUAGCGGCGGACGGGUGAGUAACACGUGGAUAACCUACCUAUAAGACUGGGAUAACUUCGGGAAACCGGAGCUAAUACCGGAUAAUAUAUUGAACCGCAUGGUUCAAUAGUGAAAGACGGUUUUGCUGUCACUUAUAGAUGGAUCCGCGCCGCAUUAGCUAGUUGGUAAGGUAACGGCUUACCAAGGCAACGAUGCGUAGCCGACCUGAGAGGGUGAUCGGCCACACUGGAACUGAGACACGGUCCAGACUCCUACGGGAGGCAGCAGUAGGGAAUCUUCCGCAAUGGGCGAAAGCCUGACGGAGCAACGCCGCGUGAGUGAUGAAGGUCUUCGGAUCGUAAAACUCUGUUAUUAGGGAAGAACAAAUGUGUAAGUAACUAUGCACGUCUUGACGGUACCUAAUCAGAAAGCCACGGCUAACUACGUG